CCCGCUUUCUAUUUUCAGAGCACACAGCGAUACAAAUAGAUGGAUCAGAGAAAGUCACACCCAUGGCUUCGUUUUCAGUCAAAGUAUUUGUCCAGGAUAUGUUUGAUCAAGACCUUGGCUUCUCCUUCGAGAGGUGGGGGUGCGCAAAGUACUUCCAAUUUAUCAAAAUUGUUUCGUCAGUUGGAGCAGUGUUGGCUGUGUCCAUCUACCUGGUCUGGUAUAAGAUUUAUCUGACCAGAAGUAAAGCCAAAGAGAGCAAAAAAAUUUCGAAUCCGCCUACACCAGUUGUACCCACC
rnacentral:sRNA from 1 species